CCUACGGGCGGCAGCAGUGGGGAAUUUUGGACAAUGGGCGAAAGCCUGAUCCAGCCAUGCCGCGUGUAUGAAGAAGGCCUUAGGGUUGUAAAGUACUUUUGUUAGGGAAGAAAAGGCAUUUGCUAAUAUCAGAUGCUGAUGACGGUACCUAAAGAAUAAGCACCGGCUAACUACGUGCCAGCAGCCGCGGUAAUACGUAGGGUGCGAGCGUUAAUCGGAAUUACUGGGCGUAAAGCGAGCGCAGACGGUUACUUAAGCAGGAUGUGAAAUCCCCGGGCUCAACCUGGGAACUGCGUUCUGAACUGGGUGACUAGAGUGUGUCAGAGGGAGGUAGAAUUCCACGUGUAGCAGUGAAAUGCGUAGAGAUGUGGAGGAAUACCGAUGGCGAAGGCAGCCUCCUGGGAUAACACUGACGUUCAUGCUCGAAAGCGUGGGUAGCAAACAGGAUUAGAUACCCUGGUAGUC
rnacentral:rRNA from 1 species